rnacentral:rRNA from 1 species
GGCGGCGUGCCUAACACAUGCAAGUCGAGCGAGGAGAUUCCUUCGGGAUGAUCCUAGCGGCGGACGGGUGAGUAACACGUGGGCAACCUGCCUCAUAGAGAGGAAUAGCCUUCCGAAAGGGAGAUUAAUACCUCAUAACAUUGCAGUUUCGCAUGGAACAGCAAUUAAAGGAGUAAUCCGCUAUGAGAUGGGCCCGCGGCGCAUUAGCUAGUUGGUGAGGUAACGGCUCACCAAGGCGACGAUGCGUAGCCGACCUGAGAGGGUGAUCGGCCACAUUGGGACUGAGACACGGCCCAGACUCCUACGGGAGGCAGCAGUGGGGAAUAUUGCACAAUGGGGGAAACCCUGAUGCAAGCAACGCCGCGUGAGUGAUGACGGCCUUCGGGUUGUAAAGCUCUGUCUUCAGGGACGAUAAUGACGGUACCUGAGGAGGAAGCCACGGCUAACUACGUGCCAGCAGCGGC